rnacentral:rRNA from 1 species
CCCGCUGAACUUAAGCAUAUCAAUAAGCGGAGGAAAAGAAACCAACAGGGAUUGCCUCAGUAACGGCGAGUGAAGCGGCAACAGCUCAAAUUUGAAAUCUGGCCUCUUUGGGGUCCGAGUUGUAAUUUGUAGAGGAUGUUUCGGGUACCGCCUCGGUUUAAAUUUCUUGGAACAGAAUGUCAAAGAGGGUGAGAAUCCCGUCUUGGACCGGCGGUAGGGCCCAUGUGAAACUCCUUCGACGAGUCGAGUUGUUUGGGAAUGCAGCUCAAAAUGGGUGGUAAAUUUCAUCUAAAGCUAAAUAUUGGCCAGAGACCGAUAGCGCACAAGUAGAGUGAUCGAAAGAUGAAAAGCACUUUGAAAAGAGAGUUAAACAGUAUGUGAAAUUGUUGAAAGGGAAGCGCUUACAACCAGACUUGCGCGCGGCGGUUCCCCCUUCCUUUUGGUUGGGCUACUCCGUCGUGUCCAGGCCAACAUCGGUUCUGGGGGUCGGUUAAAGACCCUGGGAAUGUAUCUACCCUUCGGGCGUAGACUUAUAGCUCAGGGUGUCAUGCGACCUCCCGGGACCGAGGAACGCGCUUCGGCUCGGAUGUUGGCGUAAUGGUUGUCAGCGACCCGUCUUGAAACACGG